AGUAAAAACUAUAAUAUAAUGCUGACUUUGGCACAAUACAGAGAACGAUACAGAGAUCAGCAUGGCCCCUGCACAAGGAUGACAAGCAAUGUGUGAAGUGUUCCAUAUUGGA